rnacentral:rRNA from 1 species
AUGCCGCCGCCGCAGAAAAAGACCAAGGUGGAGCACGAGGUGCCACGCGCGACGGUGGCUAGCUCCGUGGUGUCGCUGACUAACUGGAUGCGCGAGCGCGCGGCGGAGGCACCCCCGAACCUGCUCGCGGACGAGCGCGAUGACCUCGUGGUGCUCCAGCUCUCGCUCAGCCGCAUCCUGUCCAAGCCUACCACCAAGCCGCACCUCCUCCCGCUCCCGCACCCCAUUGUCGCCCACUCGGCCUCCUCCGUCUCUGUCAUCUCCGACUACGGCCCCUACGAGUCACGCUGCCGCUUGGCCGCCUCCCACGACCUCUUCCUUGCUGACUACGCCCUACUCCUGAUGUUGCCCUGCCUCCUCAGGAAGUCCUUGUACUCCACCAAAAAGGCCCCACUCGCGGUCGACUUCACCCGGGCUGGAUGGCCAGAGCAGGUCCGCAAGGUCCUGAGCUCUACUUGCCUCUACCUGCGAUCCGGGACCUGCUCGGGGAUCAAGGUGGGCAGGUUGGACAUGGAGGAAGAGGAGAUCGUCGAGAACGUGAUGGCGGUAGUGGAGGCUGAUGUGGAUAAGGUGCCAGAAAAGUGGGCAAACGUGAGGGCUUUGCAUCUCAAGGCUGUGGACUCGGCUGCCUGCUGA